AAAAACAUCGCCUCUUGACUUUCAUAAGAGGUCCAGCCUGCCCAGUGACAUGAUUAAACGGCCGCGGUAUCCUGACCGUGCAAAGGUAGCAUAAUCACUUGUCCUCUAAAUAAGGACUCGUAUCAAUGGCAUCACGAGGGUUACACUGUCUCCUCUUUUUAAUCAGUGAAACUGACUUUCCCGUGAAGAGGCGGGAAUAUGAGUACAAGACGAGAAGACCCCAUGGAGCUUUAAACCCAAUAAUAUCUUCUACUUACUAUAGCUGCUCAAUCAAGAAGGCCUAUCUAUUGGUUUUAGGUUGGGGUGACCCUGGAGUAAAACCAAGCCUCCAUGACGAAUGGACUUACCUUAAUCUGAGAGCAACCGCUCUAUGAAUCAAAAUUUUGACGUAACUGAUCCGCUUAGCGAUCAACGAACCAAGUUACCCUGGGGAUAACAGCGCAAUCCAUUUCAAGAGCCCCUAUCGACAAAUGGGUUUACGACCUCGAUGUUGGAUCAGGGUAUCCUAGUGGUGCAACCGCUACUAAAGGUUUGUUUGUUCAACAAUUAAAACCCU
rnacentral:rRNA from 1 species